UGCCUCAGACCCCGGUGAUUCCUGCAAAAUGAUGUCUGAUCAGCUAGCAGUAUUAUGUUCCACCGGUGUGAGCAUAAUCCAAGUCAAAUAACUAAUUAUAUAACUAUACUAGUUGAAAGCCCCUGCAUUGCGUAUAAUAAAAAAAAAAAAAAAUCAAUCUACGCUAGCAUUGCCCAGGGUCAUAACCUAUAAAAUAACUUUAACACAUUAAAAGUCAUUUUGUAACUACAAUAAAGUUAAAUUAGUUCACUCAUUACAUAAAUGAAUUAAAGAUACAUUCAUUAUAAUAAAAUUUUUUUUUAAUGAGAUAUAACUUGCCAGUUUCCAAUAUUUUAUAUUGGCAUUACCAAGAGUCAUAACCUAUUAAAUAACUUUAACACUUGUGAACAUUUAAAUGAGAUAAAACUUACCAGUUUCUAAUAAUUUAUAUUAGCAUUAUUAAGAGUCAUCACCUAUUAAAUAACUUUAACAUGUGUGAACAUUUUGGAACGCCAUAUGUAAGGAAAAAAAAAAAAAGUGACACUUGGCAACUUUUUUAGUAUUCCUUUUUCAUAGCUCAGCUUUACAAUAUUUAUAUAGAUAGAUUUAACAUCUUAAGCCAUAACACUACCACCACCUUCCAAGAAAAAGAUAAAAGUACUGUUUUCCAUUCUUCCCAGCUACACUUAGAAGUGGACAUCUAAGAAAUGCCCAUCUUAGUUAUAUAAAGAAGCCAAUAAUAGCAAAGGAAACCUUCUUUCAGCCAAAAACAAGAUCAGCACACCAAGCCAGAAAUAAGUGUUGAGUAAAUGUUGCUCUCCAAAACUAGAGAGCAAGGCAUUAUACAAGGAAACCAACUAAUAAUCGAAAUAAUAAAUUACCUGAUCUUCUUUAGUCGCUCUAA
rnacentral:misc_RNA from 1 species